UACGUAGGUGGCUAGCGUUGUCCGGAUUUACUGGGCGUAAAGAGCGCGCAGGCGGUCGUUCAAGUCGAGUGUGAAAGCCCCCGGCUCAACUGGGGAGGGUCACUCGAUACUGAUCGACUCGAAGGCAGGGGAGGGAAGUGGAAUUCCCGGUGUAGUGGUGAAAUGCGUAGAUAUCGGUAGGAACACCAGUGGCGAAGGCGGUCUCCUGGGGCAUUCUUGACGCUGAGACGCGAAAGCUGGGGGAGCGAACGGG
rnacentral:rRNA from 1 species